rnacentral:ncRNA from 1 species
UGUCUCCUCCAUGUCUCCACUGAUAUGGAUUGAACCCGCUUCCCACGAGCAGUUUUUUUUC